rnacentral:lncRNA from 1 species
AUGGUUGUCCAGCCUGCCUUCCCCGAGAUGCUGAGCAAGGCCGCCUGGCCCUGCCUCCAGUACUUCGCCUGACAAAGGUGACCUCAGUGACUCUGUCCCUGACUCUGCCCCUUGUGAUGACCCCACCACUGACCCGCAGGCCUUGGAGGGGCUGAUCCUGGAGAAGCCAAAGGACCAGGAGGACACCAUGGGGGUGCUGCUCAGGCUGAGUGGGAAACAGAGCAGUACAGCUUCAUCAUGAGGGUAGCCAUUGUCAUCUGGGGCAUCCACGGGGGCCCUGCUCAGGAAGUGGGCACCUUCCAUGAGGAAACGUGUAUGACUUUCUCUCCACGGUAGGAGGAGCUGAUCCAUGACUACUUGGACACCAGCUAAGGAUGCUGGAAGAAAAGUGUUUUGAAACUGACCCUACAGAUAAAAAGAGUUCAUUGUGAAUGCGAUACCCUCCUAUACUGUUGUCAGAAGCAACCCUCCAUCUCCAACUCCAAAAAUAAAUGAAAACCAAACCACACAGUUGGAAAUCAGCAAGAAGAGAACGGAUGGUGGAUGGCAGCAGAUGGACAGGAGAGCGCUCAGCAGCACUUGCUCUUCCAGCCCGUCACGCCUCCUCCACUGCUGAUAUCUACGUUUUCACUGUUGGGUUCUUUUACAGGGGUCUGCAACAACACAAGGAAGCAAGCAACCCGUGAGAAAACACUGGCAUGGAUGAAAACAGACUCACUGGAAAGACACAAAGCAAUGUCAGGUUACACAACAAAAGGCAAUUACAGUCAUAUGAGGGGGUG